rnacentral:rRNA from 1 species
UUCCGGUUGAUCCUGCCGGAGGCCAUUGCUAUCGGAGUUCGAUUUAGCCAUGCUAGUCGCACGGGUUUAGACCCGUGGCGAAAAGCUCAGUAACACGUGGCCAAACUACCCUAUGGAUCAGAAUAACCUCGGGAAACUGAGGACAAUUCUGAAUACCGCUCCUGCACUGGGAUGUGCGGAGCUCGAAACGCUACGGCGCCAUAGGAUGUGGCUGCGGCCGAUUAGGUUGACGGUGGGGUAACGGCCCACCGUGCCCAUAAUCGGUACGGGUUGUGAGAGCAAGAGCCCGGAGACGGUAUCUGAGACAAGAUACCGGGCCCUACGGGGCGCAGCAGGCGCGAAACCUUUACACUGCACGACAGUGCGAUAAGGGAACUCCGAGUGCGAGGGCAUAGAGCCCUCGCUUUUGUACACCGUAAGGUGGUGCACGAAUAAGGGCUGGGCAAGACCGGUGCCAGCCGCCGCGGUAAUACCGGCAGCCCAAGUGAUGGCCGAUAUUAUUGGGCCUAAAGCGUCCGUAGCUGGCCGGACAAGUCCGUUGGGAAAUCCGCGCGCUCAACGCGCGGGCGUCCAGCGGAAACUGUCCGGCUUGGGGCCGGAAGACCUGAGGGGUACGUCCGGGGUAGGAGUGAAAUCCUGUAAUCUCGGACGGACCGCCUGUGGCGAAAGCGCCUCAGGAAGACGGACCCGACAGUGAGGGACGAAAGCCAGGGUCUCGAACCGGAUUAGAUACCCGGGUAGUCCUGGCUCUAAACGAUGUCCGCUAGGUGUGACGCAGGCUACGGGCCUGCGCUGUGCCGUAGGGAAGCCGUGAAGCGGACCGCCUGGGAAGUACGUCUGCAAGGAUGAAACUUAAAGGAAUUGGCGGGGGAGCACUACAACCGGAGGAGCCUGCGGUUUAAUUGGAUUCAACGCCGG